GACGAACGCUGGCGGCGUGCUUAACACAUGCAAGUCGAACGGUGAAGCGCCUUCCUUUUUGGUGGGUGUGGAUGAGUGGCGAACGGGUGAGUAACACGUGAGUAACCUGCCCCCUUCUUCUGGAUAACCGCAUGAAAGUGUGGCUAAUACGGGAUAUUCUGGGUCUGUCGCAUGAUGGGUCUGGGAAAGAUAUUGUUUCGGUGGGGGAUGGGCUCGCGGCCUAUCAGCUUGUUGGUGGGGUGAUGGCCUACCAAGGCGGUGACGGGUAGCCGGCCUGAGAGGGUGGACGGGCACACUGGGACUGAGACACGGCCCAGACUCCUACGGGAGGCAGCAGUGGGGAAUAUGGCACAAUGGGCGCAAGCCUGAUGCAGCGACGCCGCGUGAGGGAUGGAGGCCUUCGGGUUGUGAACCUCUUUCGCCAGUGAAGCAGGCCUGCCUCGUUUGUGGGUGGGUUGACGGUAGCUGGAUAAGAAGCGCCGGCUAACUACGUG
rnacentral:rRNA from 1 species